AGCUGCCACUUUAGAGUGAGUCAUGAGAGGUGGCAGUAUCUGUCCGAGCCGCGCAUCUGUUUCCUCGACCGGUCCAGUGGACUCCGAUAGCACGGUGGAAUCCCAAAACAAAGGUGGUGGGCUGCUGGCGCCAGCACCCCUGGCUCAGUCUCCCGACCACGGCGGCUCUGUAGUCGUCCCAGAGCGCAAGGAUAUGCCGGAGUUUGUGGUGACAGCGCUACUCGCACCCUCACGCCUCUCGCUGAAGCUGCUGCGAGCGCUGGUGAUGAGCCUGGUGUACUUGGCUGCCUUGGUGGCCGCGUUUGUCUACAGCUGCAUCGCGCUCACCCAUGUGAUGUGCCGUCCUCGCAGGGGCUGCUGCGGCCGCCAGAGGUUGUCUCCCCCAGAGUGCCUGAGAGACCCCACGCUGGGCGAGCAUUGCUUUCUAACCCUCAGGAGUUCCGGCCUGCGUCUGCACUAUGUCUCUGCUGGUCAUGGCAAUGGGCCACUCAUGCUAUUUCUGCAUGGCUUCCCAGAGAACUGGUAUGUCUGGGCCCCUGGAUCCUGAUGCUCACUGGACUAGGGAAAGGUUCAGCUGGCGCUACCAGCUGCGAGAGUUUCAGAGCCAUUUCCAUGUCGUGGCUGUAGACAUGCGUGGUUAUAGUCCCUCUGAUGCUCCAAAGGAAGUGGAUUGUUACACCAUUGACUUGUUGUUGGAUGACAUCAAGGAUACCAUCCUAGGCCUGGGGUACUCCAAGUGCAUCCUCGUGAGCCACGACUGGGGGGCCUCCCUUGCCUGGGAGUUCUCCAUCUACUACCCAUCCCUAGUGGAGCGUAUGGUUGUGGCCAAUGGUCCUCCCAUGUCAGUGAUCCAAGAAUACUCAAUCCACCACAUCGGCCAGAUAUUCCGAUCAAACUACAUGUUCCUGUUCCAGCUUCCCUGGCUGCCAGAGAAGCUGUUGUCUAUGUCUGACUUCCAGAUUCUCAAAGACACAUUCACUCACCGCAAGAACGGCAUCCCAGGACUGACUCCUUCUGAACUUGAAGCAUUCCUUUAUCACUUCUCACAACCUGGAUGCCUCACUGGGCCCAUCAACUACUACAGGAACGUGUUCAGGAACUUCCCCCUGGAGCCCAAGAAACUGUCAACACCCACGCUGUUGCUGUGGGGGGAAAAAGACUUCGCCUUCCAGCAGGGGCUGGUGGAAGCCAUUGGAAGACACUUUGUGCCCGGCCGGUUGGAAAGCCACAUUUUGCCAGGCAGUGGGCACUGGAUUCCACAGAGCCAUCCUCAGGAGAUGCAUCAGUACAUGUGGGCCUUCUUGCAAGACCUGCUGGGCUAGAAGCUCUUGUUUGCCAGCCUAACAUUGAUAUGUUGGAGCACAUAUCCCCUGUCCUUGUGUACCUGGGAGUCCAUGCAGUGUGUGCAUAAGGGUGCACUCCCAGAACUCCGAGUUACACACAGAAGCAUCUGUGGGCAUCUUGCCUCACCUGCGUGGAUGUCUUACUACUUAUCAAAACCUCCCUGCCCCCAAGGGCUACACAAACCAUAAAUUCUAACCUUUCUGUCUUGUUUUCCACCCCCGGUCUGAUGUUUAAGUCUUCCUUAAUAUUGCAUCCAAUAUAUUUCUAACACACAGGAAUACUUCAAUUUAAAUGUUAAUGAGCUAAAACGAACCACUAUGAAAAAUACAAUGUCUCUGAAGCCAGGAAGACCGACAGCUGAGUGACUAAAAGCAUUUGGUGCUCUUGUAGAGGAUAUGAGUUCUAUUCUCAGCACUCACAUGGAGUUUCACAGCCAUCCAUAAAUCCAUGUUCAGGGGACAGGACACUCUUUCCUGCUGUCCCUGAGCAAUGGGCAUGCAUACAGCAUACACACAGACAUGCAAGUCAGACAUUCCUACAUACAGAAAAGUCAAUAAGGAAUGUGUGUGUGUGUGUGUGUGUGUGUGUGUGUGUGUCCCUGAGCAAUAGGCAUGCAUGCAGCAUACACACAGACAUGCAAGUCAGACAUUCCUACAUACAGAAAAGUCAAUAAGGAAUGUGUGUGUGUCUCCCUGAGCAAUAGGCAUGCAUGCAGCAUACACACAGACAUGCAAGUCAGACAUUCCUACAUACAGAAAAGUCAAUAAGGAAUGUGUGUGUGUGUCUCCCUGAGCAAUAGGCAUGCAUGCAGCAUACACACAGACAUGCAAGUCAGACAUUCCUACAUACAGAAAAGUCAAUAAGGAAUGUGUGUGUGUGUGUGUGUGUGUGAGUGUGUGUGUGUGUGUGUGUGUGUGUGUGUUUCAAGAUAGGGUUUCUCUGUGUAGCCCUGGCCAUUCAGGAACUCACUCUGUAGACCAGGCUGACCUUGAACUUGGAGAUCUGCCUGCUUCUGCCUCUCAAAUGCUGGAAUUAAAGGCGUGCGCCGCCACCACCCUGUAAGAAGUAAAUCUUCUUUAAAAAAUACAGUGUCUUGGUCACCACAA